rnacentral:rRNA from 13 species
CGGAAAGACCCCGUGCACCUUUACUACAACUUCAGACUGGCAUCAGGCCAAGCAUGUGCAGGAUAGGUGGUAGGCUUUGAAGCAGGAACGCUAGUUCUUGUGGAGCCUCCCUUGAGAUACCACCCUUGCUUUGCUUGAUGUCUAACCGCGGCCCGUUAUCCGGGUCCGGGACCAUCUGUGGUGGGUAGUUUGACUGGGGCGGUCGCCUCCUAAAGCGUAACGGAGGCGCGCGAAGGUUGGCUCAGAGCGGUCGGAAAUCGCUCGUUGAGUGCAAUGGCAGAAGCCAGCCUGACUGCAAGACUGACAAGUCGAGCAGAGUCGAAAGACGGCCAUAGUGAUCCGGUGGUCCCGAGUGGAAGGGCCAUCGCUCAACGGAUAAAAGGUACGCCGGGGAUAACA